rnacentral:rRNA from 1 species
CAUAGCCACCAUCCUCCAAAAAAAUCCAAUCUCAUCACAUUUUGAAAGCCAAAGGGAGUCAGGCCUGGUUAGUUCUUGACUGGAAGGAUCUGAGACUUCAGCAGGAAGUGGGCUAGGC